UUUUGAUAAUAAUAAUAUUUUUACUUUGUGUUAUGUAAUGUAUGUUGUAAAUGUGAAAGAUUUUGUUGACAAUGUCGCUUUCUCAUACCUCACUCUCAUGGCGAAAGCGACUUUUCAUUUUCAUUUUCAUUUUCAUCUUCUCCGUAUUUAGUGCAACCAUCACUUACCCCUUUAUAUUCCUUUCAAUUUCUUAAAACUCCUCAUCUCAUUUCCCUUUCCUUCUGAAUUUCUAUUUAUUGCUGCCAAAGCGUUUGUAUUGCAGAGUUAGGGUUUCACAUAUAACUGUGUGUGUACUCGCCGAUUUUGGUUGAUUAACAGAUAAGUAUUUCUUCGAUUUCUCAUCCUUUCUCUUUUUUACUCAUCGAAUUAACAUUAUCCUGAUUCUGAACAGUUCCUUGUGUAUAUAGAUUCAUUAGAAUGCUAGAUUAGAGAUCUUUGUCUUUUUUUUGAAAUUUUUGUUAGUGAUUAUAGGGUUUGUGGUAAGAGUUGACUCUGCUUAGUUUAACAGAUUGUGUUUGUGUCUGAAAGUUUGCCACUCUUCCAUGUUGAUUUAUUUUUGUAACUGUAUCUUCUCAGACUUUGGUGUGUGACCAAAAAAGUUUUUUUUUGGUUGUGAUUUAUACGUAAGUUCACUGUUGAAAGUGUUUUUUUUCUUAAAGAGAUGAGGGGACAAGGGGCUUUUUCUUUCACGAAAUAUAAAACUAGAUGUACUUUUGGUUUUCAGUUCUUUAACCUUGAACUAUUAUUUAAACAUGAUUUUGGUUGUGUCUAUUGUAUUCGUAUUUCAUUUUAGGCUGCCUUUACUCUCUGCAAUUUGAUUCUGAGAUAUAAUGGUGAACUAUUACUGACUGUUGCAUAUCCUAAUUUAUUUUUUGUGGGGGGAAGUUGAAUGUAAAGCUGUAGAUUGAGGUUAGUAUAUUUAUUCCUUGGAAUCUCAUAUAUUGUAUUAGAGAUGUGAUUUUGGUGAUUACUAAGGCUGUUGAGUUGAAGAAGUUAAUUUGUAAAAGUUUUGUGAUUUGAGGAAUGGUCCAAGAGAGCUUCCUUCAGCCCACUCACGGAGGAGAAAUGGGGUUGAAUUAGCUGCCGACUCAUUCAUCCAACCACUCAGUAGAAAGGAUAGGUUUUGUGCUACUGUGAUUGAGUGAAUGAUGCGGGAGAUAGUUUUCUAUCCCUCUCUUUCCUUGCUUGGACUGAAGGGAGCUCCUUUUCCCCAUUCUCUUCAUUUUCAAAACCUAAUUUUUCAAUAAUAAUUCUGUUUAACAUAUUAUGGUGAUUUCCAGGAUAAGAUCUUUCAGUUUUCCGGACAAGUUUAAGCACUCAAUCACUUCUGUUUGAAUCAGUCAAUAGUUUUCUCUAGCAUCUGGUUAGUAGUACAUGGAUAUGCGCUAGAAAUCUACUUCGUCAUAUAUAUGAUUCCAAGAGUUAUGUGUAGCCAUUUCGAUCACUAGUCUGUUCGUCCUGGUCUCUACCGCCAUUAUACAUCUCGGUUAAUCCUAAUUAUUAGAAUCUUCAUAUGGCUAUGUUUUUCAUGUCUUGUACAGUUAUACUGAAACAUCUAUAAUCAUUGUUUGCUGACGUUACAUCCGCUCCUUGCAAUAUGUUUUACAUGUUCUGUCUAAACUGAUGAGGAAAUGCAGUACAGAUCCACCUACUUGCUAUAGGGAUCUCCUUUUUUUUCUCUACAGAGAUAUGUUUGAUGUCACACAUAUCUCUGGCGCAGAUUAAGCCUUUUCCAAGAGAUGCUUUACAUGGCUCUUGCGAACUGUAAUUACAUACUUGAAAUCGGUUUUAGGGGAUUAGUAUUUAGUAUUUACGAAUUCAUAUAUUUUCUUUCAUUUGCAACACAUAUAUCAGUUGAAGUUUGAAGUAGAUGUGUUUCAUGGUUUUAAAUAUAUCUGCAUGGCUGUGAAGACAGCAAAACGUGAUGAACACCAUGUUUUUCUCCCUUUUUCUAGGGCAAUGAGGAUGACCUCAUUGAUAUACAUUGGUUCAAUUUUUUAUAUGGCAAGUAGCUUGUGGCAAGUACAAUUUUUAUGUUAUAUUUUUUUGCAUUAAUGAAAUGCUUUAUUCCCUUUCCAAACACUUAGUACUAUAUUAAUUUAUUUAUAAGUAGUUAGGUCAUGCUAUAUACAAUGACUGGUACCAAUUAAUUUUUCCAAUUAUGGAGGGGGGGACCUCAUGGUUUAAAUCCUGAUUUAGGAAAUCAGCUCUAGCUUUGAGAUAAUUUUCCAUCAUUAUAAAAUUUUUAUAUAUAGUGUAUUAUAAGGUUGUGUCUGGCAUUAUUUGUCUAGGAAGUACCAAUAGAUUCUGUCUGUAGGGUGGUCCCCUGACCCUUUUACAUGCAAUCUUCAUGCCUUCAUUUUUUUUUCCCAUUUACUUUGCUUUGUAAGCAUUUUAAAACUUAUUCUCUAUUAUAAUAUGAUGCAUUAUUGAUCCCUCCCCUUCCCACAAGCCUAGUUGGUGUUCUUUUAAUUAAUUUAUUUUUAUGAGCGUGGUGUUCAGGCUGGCUUUCGCGCACCUUGACUAAAUCCAUGUGAUACCUACCACCUCCCACCAACACCAUGUAUCUGAUUACUAAGAUGAUGUUUUUUGUGUCGAACCUAUUUGCUUAUGAUUCAUAUUUCCUUUUGAGGAAGAAAUGUGAGGGCACUCUCCACCUUUGGCCUACCACUUCUAACCGGUUGUGAGUUUGAGUCACUAGGGCCGGGGAGCAAAUAUUGAGGCUCUGAGAGGAGUAAAAAGCUGCAGUUAGUGGUGACAUUUCUCAUUUGUAACAGAGAUUUUUUUUUUUUUAAAAAACAAGAUAUUAGGUUGCCCAGAAGAAUUUUGUGGCUAAUGUUGAGAAUUAGUAUUCCAUUGGGUUUGUGCUUCAUUUGAUUGGUGAAGGUGAAGGUUCAAGUAAAAGGUUGAGUGGUCCCCUUCUCCAACUCUACUCCAACCCCCAUGCCCUCACACUGAAUCAUUUUUCUAUACAAUAUAAUAGUGGAGAACUUAUAUUCUACUUCAACAUCUGCAUGAAACUGUCGGCCAUCAUGUGUGCUUUGGUUGGGAUCUUCCUUCCCAUUAUUCCACCGUAUAUGUUGCUUGGACUCUUAAAAAAUAUCGAUGGUGCUCGUCAUAUUUCUCAAAGCUACUGCUUUUUUUUUUUUAUGAAUUCGUCAUGGAUUUGUCAAUAGCUUAUGGUUACUGAUGAAGGAUUCUAUGAUAAUAACAUGUUACAUAUUAGCUGGUUUGGUGUGUGUACUGAUAAUAUUUUUAUAUAUGUUUGGUUGUCACAUUUUAAUACAAGUUAUCGACUGGGACUGACUUGCUGAAGUUGAACUGUUGAAAUGGCUUAAUCUAGCGAUUUCCAGAGAUUUUGAUCUGUUAUCUUUCUUUGUUUCUUUUUUUGUUUUCCACCUGCUGUCUGGUUACUAAUGAGACUCGAAUAUGAGAUUUCUGAUAAAGAUGGAGGAUGAAAGAAUACUUAAUAUUCUGUUUGUAACACAAUAUUAAGAAGUCCUUACUGCUACAAUUUGUUAAUAUUUAGUUAUAGAAGAGAGUUCGAAGCUCUGAGAUAGGCUCCAAGAGGAUAUUAUUUUCUCAGAGAAUAGACUUAUCAAUGCAAGCUAAUGAAGAAUGUCUUGCACCCAAGUUUGUACUUAAUGGUCAAUGAAGUGAAAAAAUAGUUCAAAUGUUAGUAGAAAUUAAAAUUAUUGUUAGGUGAUAUUUUUUUAUAUGACCUAUAUUUAUUUUAAUGUGAGGUAGUAGGUGUUGAGCAAAUUUAUUUAGGUACAACAUAAUUAGCUUAAAUACAAGGAAAAAAGAACGAGUGCGUCCCUUGUGAAAAAAAUUUUGAGAAAAUGUUGGUAAUAGCUAGCCACUUUGGAAGGUGGUAAGAAUUAAAUUUCUAAUUCGUGGUACAUUGAUUUUCUUAUUCUUGUGUUGUUAGGUACAAAAAGGGUAAAAUUAGGCUUAAGCUCAUUUGUGUUGUAUUUGAAAAAGAAGUGUAUUCUUUGCAGACACUAUGGCCCAGUGGGAUUAGAAAACUUUUGGAAAAGCACUCCAUGACUAAUGUUUAAUAACGAGAGAGUUGCUUGGAUGAAAAUUUUGGCCAUAAUGGCACAUUCACACUAUAAACAGAUCUAAUCAACUUAUUAUGAUUCCGAUGAUGAUUAUUGAGCUGAAAGUAGAUCCAAAAGGUUUUCGGAUUCAUUAACAACGGCGAAUCAUAAUAUUUAGAAGUCGAAGUCGAAGAAGGAUAAACUUCAUCUUUUAAAGUAAAUGUGGAAGAACUUCAUCCUUGAAUGUUUAUAGUGACGGUUGAAUAUUUGUAGUUGUAUUUGCUGAAUUCUUUAGCGAUGAAGUCAACAUCCAUCUAGUGGUUUCUGAGUUGACUACCUUUGCACAAGAUAUGCAACACUACUAUGGAAGUACGAUCUCGACAAAGUCAAGGUGGGAUAUGUUAGCGAUAACAAUGAUCCACUAAAGCUGAAGAGCUAUUUCACUCCACAACAACAAGAUGACUUGGUUCACAUAAAUUAGUGAUUAUGUACCAAUUCACAGACAACUUGUGAUGUUUAUUGUUUUUAAGAUACAUUAACUAAUAUUUUCGAGGGUUUGUUAUAUUUCAAGAUACAUUUUCUCAA